UCACUUCUCAAGAAGGGCUACUGCCUACACAGUGCAGUUUCAGCUGCCAAACAAUCUUCAGUCUGGUUUGUGCUCUUGUAAUGAGCUAUUGUGCUGGUGCCUGGUGGUCAUCUCACCUGCCUGUAGGAAAAAAACUCUCUAAACUGAAGCAAUUAAUUGAUCAAGAUUGCCUGCAAGAUAAUUGAGUAAAGGAUUAGAUUAGGCAUCAUGCUAAAUUAUUGAAAUCGUUGCAUUAAUCAUAUACAUUUUAAGAGAUUAUUUAAAUAGGUGUAUAACUGAUAAUUCUCAUGAUCAGAUCCUAAUCACUCGAAAAGGUGCAUCACAUGGACUCAGAAGAAUUGCAUCUAUUUUUAGAAAGAAUAUUGUUUGCAGUGCUCUUAAUCUCAAUAUUUCAUUUUUACCAUUUGAAUUUUGUUCUUGCAACUGGGGUCUGGAGGCAGUAGAAUGGUAAAAAUGAGAAUGCCAUUUGCCUAAAUCAAUGCGAACAAACCUUUUUUCCCUCAUGAAUAUUGAUCUGAGCUAAAGCUUGCAUCAAAAAUUAGCUUCGAAGCUGGCAAUUGGCACCUCUAAAAAUGUUUUCUCAACUAAAAGAACGACAAACAUAAAGGAGAAAUGGUGUUGUACUAAAAAUAUUGCACAAAGUAAUGUUUGUGAAAUCGUUGUCAUGAUUAAUGUUUGUGAUGAAUAAUUGGCUAUGCAAAUGAUUUAAUUAGUGAAUUGGUUUGGAAAGAUGUGUGGAUGUUGGUGUGAGUGCGUGUGACUAAUGUGGGUCAGGUUGUGAUAUCUAUGCCCAGGAACAGUUGUUUUGUCUGAUUGUGUACAGGUGACUUGAGGUCAGCCUUGGUCAAUGGUGAUGUCUGAUUGUGUGCAGGUGAUUUGAGGUCAGCCUUGGUCAAUGGUGAGGAUCGGGACUAUGUUCAGGGAGGAACAUAGGUCUAGUGCGGUCAGGAUACCAUGUGAAAAGGUGACUAGAGUCAGGAUUCUUGGAGGUCAACUUCGGUCAACGGUGGGGACCGGGACUAAACUCAGGGAGAAGUUGAGGUCCAAAUGGUCAAGGAUACCGGGUGACGAAGUUGAAUACAAGAUGGCACACGGUGGAUGGACACCGUGUGUGAGAGAUCUUCGCAACGGGUUUUAUGAGGUGUGCGUGCAAGCGUCGGUGUUCGCGAGGAGGAAUGAGAAAAGAUGGAGAUGUACAUGUACGGUGGAGGGCAUGGUUGCUACAGUACUCGAUGUACUGUAGCGUGUAGUUUGCAUGAACGUGAUGUACAUGUGUGCAGGUAGCAUGCAUGUAUGCAGGUCCGUGGCUUGGACUGGGAGGAGCAGCAGUGGCUCGGUUGGAUGGCAGGCCGAGUCGGCCCAGGCGGCCAGGAGACCGAGUGCGAGCUGGCGAAGGAUCGGUACGGAGGCGUCCGAUCCGGAGCAGGAUUUUCCAUGGCUGGUACGGCUGUGGUUUUGGAGAAAAGGAAAUUGAGGAAUUGAAUCCUGUUGGAAAUAGAAGCUCUACACCUAAUUUGACACCUACUUUGAGUAGGGGAUUUUUACGGUAUAAAUAGAGAGGAAGCGUGAGGCUUCCUGUAUAGCUUUUCAUAGCAAUUGAGUUUCUAGUUUAGUUAGGGUUUCGAGUUUAGUCGAGAUUUUUGUAAGGAGUGCUGUUGGUGCACUUUGUAAACACAGAGAGAAGCAAUAAAGUUGUCAUCUACUUUGAGAGUUCUUCGAUUUGUGUUUCUUCGGGUUCAGGCGGCAGGGAGGCGAUCUAACCGGCGGCGUGCGAGCGGUCCGACCGGCGGCGACAGGACUACGUCGAGAUUUCCAUCGAUUUGAGGGUAACUUUUAUUUCCGCUAAAAGUUUUUGGGUUUUUGGUUUUCCUUACCAUUCACCCCCAUCUGGUAGGCUUGGUUACUUGUGUUCGAUCCUGCAAGUGGUAUCAGAGCCUCGUUUUCUUCUUUGGAUUUUAACCGAUCUAAAGUUUUUGCCAUAGCUAAUAAGUUUACAACUAAGCCCCAUGUUUUCGAUGGAACGGAUUUUCCUUAUUGGUGUAGUAAGAUGCAAUCUUAUAUUCAGGCUGAGGAUCUUGAUAUUUGGAGGAAAGUUUCUAAUCCUUAUGUGAUUCCGGAUCAAAUCAGUACUGCUGCUUUAAAAACUGAAUUUGAACAAAAUUGCAAAAGCUCGCAAUAUUUUAUUGAGUGGGAUUUCUCGUUCGGAUUUUGAUCGUGCUUCACAUUUUCAAACUGCUCAUGAGAUUUGGAACGCUUUGAAAAAUUUUCAUCAAGAAACUUCAAAUAUUAAAGAACUUCGUCGUGAUCUUUUUAAAAAGGAGUACAUUAAGUUUGAGAUGAAACCUGGAGAAGCUUUGGAUGACUAUCUUUCUAGAUUCAACAAAAUUUUGAGUGAUCUUAGAUCGGUUGAUUCUGCUUAUGACAAAAAUUACUCUCAAUCUGAAGUUUCUCGUCACUUUUUGAAUGGUCUUGACAUGUCUAUUUGGGAGAUGAAAUUUACAUCAAUUCAGGAGUCUGUCGAUAUGUCUACUUUGAUUUUGGAUUCACUUUACACAAAACUGAAAACACAUGAGAUGAAUAUUCUUUCUCGUAAAAUUGAUUCUAAUUCUAGUGCUUUGGUUUCUUCCUCGACUUCUUUGGAUGUUGGUGCUUCUUCAUCAAAUUCUACUGUUCUUGCUUUGAUUAAUGCCAUGUCCGAUGAGUAACUCGAACAGUUCGAGGAGGACUUGGUUUUGGUUACUAACAAACUUUCUCGAGCUGUGGCUAAUGUUAGGUACAGGAAAAGAGGUGGACCAAAUCGUUGUUUUGAAUGUGGUUCUACGGAUCACUUUCGUUCACGAUGUCCUAAGCUUGGGAGAGGCAAGAAGGAAGAUGAUGGUAGAGUUUUGGAGAAUGAAGUUGACAAGAAGAAGAUCACGAAGGAGAAGAAGAAGAAUUGCAUGCAGUGGCUAAUCCAAGAAUUAAUAAGAACUUUUGAUGAAUCGGAGGAUGAAGAUGAGAGCAAAGGUAAGCAAGUUGUUGAUCUAGCUUUUAUUGCUCGUAAUGCAAGUUCUGAUGUUGAUGAAUCUGAUAGUAAUAGUGAAGAAAAGCUUAGUUAUGAUCAAUUAGAAUAUGCUGCUUUCAAAUUUGCUAAAAAACUUCAAACAUGUUCUAAUAUGCUUGAUGAGAAGGAUCACACUAUUGAGAUUCUAAAUGCUGAAUUGAUAGAUUAAAAUAUUUGAUUCCUAAUGAUGAUGACUGCAAAUCUUGUAAAGUUUUAUUUUCUGAAAUUAAUGCUUUGCAAGAUGUCUAUUCUGUUAAUUGCAAGAAAUUGGAAUCUGAGAUUGAAAAAUCUAAAAAGUUGGAGUCUUCUUUUGCUCUUGGAUUUGCUUUGCAUGAUCGUGUUCUUGAUGCGUUGAUUUUGACAAAAAACGUUUUGAAAAAAGUUUUGGAGGCUUGGUUACUUGUGUUCGAUCCUACAAUGUUUUGGAGCAUUUAGAUAAAUUUUGUACCCCAUUCAUAUGUGCCUUCAUGAAUUCCAUCGAAGAACUGUAACCCAAUUAGGCUGUUUGAAUAAACUCUUUUCACAAAGAAGACCCCUGACCUGCACUGUUUUGUAUUCAACGUGGUGAACAAAACAGUGGAAUCAUAGCAAAGUGUAGCGCUAAUUUGAUAGACUAUCUUUGAAACAAUAAAUAUUGCUGUGUAGAAUUAACAUUGAAAUGUAUAUAUCCUAUAAUGACAGUGCCACAAUUUAUCUCUGAUCAUAUGAAAAAAACAUUUAGCAUAAAAUUGAGAAAAAGUGAUAACGCAUAUGACCCUACACCAAUCGUAAAAUAUAUCAUCUUGUAAGCAAGAUGGGUGGGCAAAUUCAUUAAUACUAUAAUUUUUCUCAUGAAGGAAGAUUAAUGUGCAACAAUUUUUCUCCAAUCCUCACAACAUUUUUUUCCCGAGGUCAGCCAUUUAUAAAAUUAAGCAUGAUCUCUUCGUAUUGUUUUUUUGUCGACUAAAUUUGUUGAUAUUAUAGAGUAAAACAAAAAUUUAGGUUUACAGAACAAAUAUUAGACUAGAUUUAUGAUCAUGUUUCUUACUAUGAGUGGCAGGAGCGGUCCAUGGUCUUCUGAGUUUUUCCUGAUGACCAAGGAUGAUAGCAUCACGUUGAAGACGAUAGGAUCUUAUUUAUUCUUUUUCCUUGGAUAGCUCCUGCACAGCAUACAAUGAGAAUCAUCAUUUUGCAAACUUAAUCAGAGUAAGAACAGUAAUACCAAAGUGAUAUUUGCAAUGCGGAUGAAUCUCAAAGUUCAAUUAUCAAUCUAUAGUUAAAGCAACAUAAUAAAAAUGUAAUACCAAAGCCUGUAUCACAUCACGGAGUUCCCAACCAAAGGAGAAAUGGGAAUUAGAAUACAUGAAGAAGAAAAGAUAGCGCCAAAAUCAGAACUGAAAAGCUAAGAUAAUAAACAUGCUUUACUCAUUUUAAAUAGCUAUGGAAGAUAAGUACUAUCAUAAACUGCACUGCGCAGUUUCUUUUAUAACCAUAAUUUCAGCACGUAUCUAGUUAAAUAGAUCGGACGAGCAUAUGAUUAAUCAACCCAUCUAGAUAUAAUUAAAAAAUCUUGGUCCAUGUAUCUGGCUCUUCGAUUGUGCAUGCAGUCUAGCUAGAUCAACUCAUUUAUAGUACGAGUCAUCUACUGAUAUGGCUUUUUUUUUUGCCCUUUUAUGGCACCAACCAUGGAGUACUGUAUAUGGUAGCCGUUGCAGCAUGCUCUGUUGCAAUCAAUCUGAGAAAACAGCUCGUUAGUCUUGAGAAAACAAAGCAUUGUCCUAUUCCAAACAUUGGCACACAAUCAUGUAAAAAUACCAAAAAUGAUAUAAACAUACCUAACAAAAUCAACAGUUCAGUUUUUAUUUAUUCAUCACUCUGGCAUCUCGCAAGAGGGCAAAGGCACAGAAAGAAAAGGCACGACCAUCCAUCCAUACAAACCAAAUUGUCCACAAAAUACAAUCAACUUUCCGUAUCACCCAAUCAUAAAAUCUAGUCAGCUCCCAUUAUUUUAUCGAUUUUAUUGUUCUGAUCUUAAAUUAACUCGGAGAUAACAUGAAAGAUCGAAAGGCUAAUUCUGACAAGUGUGCCCCUUAAACAGUAAAGUCCAUAGCAAAAUGAUGCAACUAUAGGAUACCUAGACCACGCCAAUAAACUGGAGGAAAAAUUAAGUUCCCAAAAAAUAUCAAGGGCCACAAGAAUAGUCUUUCAAAGAGAGUAUAAAACACAAAUCUCUACAGUGGGCUAAAGGAAGGGUUGAAGUCAUUCAAGUGCAUAUUCACCAAGGUACUGUUUGUACAUAUAAUUGAAACCAAGAAACAACCAAAGUAAGAAAAUAAUCUCAGUUACAACAAUAAGUAAGAUUUUGAUGUAUCGAGAGCUAGGAGUACUUGAAGAUACUUUCCUCACACAGUGAACAUUAAACAAAAUCGAAACCCUUCCAGUAAAUCACACAGUGAACUCACCUUCAGUUUAAGAAGCACAAAAGGAACACCUUCCAGUAAAAAAUCUGCAGAGGAUGUUGUGUUCUAGAAUCGGAACCCUCAAUUCAAGGAGUUGUGCAGCAAUGAGUUACUUUCAUCUGGGAGCAAAUUAAUCAAGCAUGACAAAAGGUAUAUAUAUGGUUCAUGUUUGCAACUCCACCCUCUCUUCUUUCCUCCAUGAUGGUCUCCUUCGAAAAAAAAC
rnacentral:lncRNA from 1 species